rnacentral:rRNA from 1 species
UACGAAGGGGGCUAGCGUUGCUCGGAAUCACUGGGCGUAAAGCGCACGUAGGCGGCUUCUUAAGUCAGGGGUGAAAUCCUGGAGCUCAACUCCAGAACUGCCUUUGAUACUGAGUAGCUUGAGUCCGGGAGAGGUGAGUGGAACUGCGAGUGUAGAGGUGAAAUUCGUAGAUAUUCGCAAGAACACCAGUGGCGAAGGCGGCUCACUGGCCCGGUACUGACGCUGAGACGCGAAAGCGUGGGGAGCGAACAGG